rnacentral:ncRNA from 17 species
CACUUAUCCAGAGAGGCGGAGGGACUGGCCCGAUGAAGCCUCGGCAGCAGGUCUGUUGACACUGUGCCAAUUCCACCGGUAUACCGGAAAGAUAAGCA